rnacentral:rRNA from 1 species
CCUACGGGAGGCAGCAGUGGGGAAUUUUGGACAAUGGGCGAAAGCCUGAUCCAGCAAUGCCGCGUGAGUGAAGAAGGCCUUCGGGUUGUAAAGCUCUUUUGUCAGGGAAGAAACGGCCUGUUCUAAUACAGUGGGCUAAUGACGGUACCUGAAGAAUAAGCACCGGCUAACUACGUGCCAGCAGCCGCGGUAAUACGUAGGGUGCAAGCGUUAAUCGGAAUUACUGGGCGUAAAGCGUGCGCAGGCGGUUUUGUAAGUCUGUCGUGAAAUCCCCGGGCUCAACCUGGGAAUGGCGGUGGAGACUGCAAGGCUAGAGUUUGGCAGAGGGGGGUAGAAUUCCACGUGUAGCAGUGAAAUGCGUAGAUAUGUGGAGGAACACCGAUGGCGAAGGCAGCCCCCUGGGUCAAGACUGACGCUCAUGCACGAAAGCGUGGGGAGCAAACAGGAUUAGAUACCCUGGUAGUCCACGCCCUAAACGAUGUCUACUAGUUGUCGGGUCUUAAUUGACUUGGUAACGCAGCUAACGCGUGAAGUAGACCGCCUGGGGAUACGGUCGCAAGNUUAAAACUUAAGGAAUUGACGG